rnacentral:lncRNA from 1 species
CCAGUUUGGUGUGUUUUCUUUGCUAUGUGUUUGAGAUAUGUGAAAAGGGCACUUAGGCGAGGGUGUACUUUAUCGCACUCGACCUAAACCCUAAUUUGAAUGUAUAAUUGUACUUGGCAUAUGUAUAUGAACCUUUUGGAACCAAAACCCUAGAGCUUGUGGCUCGGGGCGACUUUCGAAUAAAUUUUGUGAAGUUUGCAAAGUUUGUGAUUUUGAAUAAUUUUGUGAAGUUUGUGAGUUUGGGGCGAACUCUUGACCUGGUUGGACUAUUCGAGCCGGUUAGGGCUUGGUCGAAGGCAGUCCAACUUAGUCUGAGGUCACCAAGUUUGUAGGUUCAUGUUAUGAACCAAUUUUGUAAAUCCGGUUCACCGAGAAGGUGACCAAGUUUGUGACCCGAGCUUGUGACUCAAGCUCAAGUUUGUGAUUUCGUUCGCCCGGG